GUGCCAGCAGCCGCGGUAAUACGUAGGGUGCGAGCGUUAAUCGGAAUUACUGGGCGUAAAGCGUGCGCAGGCGGUUUAUCAAGUCUGAUGUGAAAGCCCCGGGCUUAACCUGGGAACUGCGUUGGAAACUGAUAAACUAGAGUACGGCAGAGGGGGGUAUAAUUCCACGUGUAGCAGUGAAAUGCGUAGAUAUGUGGAGGAAUACCGAUGGCGAAGGCAGCCCCCUGGGUCGAUACUGACGCUCAUGCACGAAAGCUUGGGUAGCAAACGGGAUUAGAUACCCUGGUAGUCCCCGCCCUAAACGAUGUCAACUAGUUGUUGGGGAGGGAGACUCUCCUUAGUAACG
rnacentral:rRNA from 1 species